CUCUGUGGGCACCAUGCAUGUAAUUGGUGCACAGACAUACAUGCAAGCAAACUAUCCAGACACAUGAAACAUAAAAAUUUGAAAAGUAAAAUCUCGAUGGUGCUUUCGCAGGAUUUUUAUGGCACAUGGAUGAACGUGUCAUUAGAGAACGCACUGGCCUUGUCUCUGUCUUGAAUUAUCAUCGGGUCUGAAGGGCUUCAACUGCCACUGAAGCGCCGGACAGAUAGUGUCACCUGCCAGCAGGAAGUCAGCACUCGGCAUAUUCCCUGGACCGAUGGCGUGUUUGGUAACGAUCUGAUGGUGAUGGUGAUGAGGGUGAGGAUGAUGGUGGCCAUGGCGGUGAGGAUGACGAAAAAUCCACAGGCCUUCUGCAAUGAGUUUGUGUACCCUGCCUAGCGAGUCCUACACAUCACAGAUGUUAACAAUGAUGACGGACGCAGUUGCUGAAGCAGGAAGGUGUGGGGGCCGGAUACGAGGCUAAUCAGUAGUUCUACUUCCAGAAGGAGCCGGAUCUUGGGUAGAAUGCAGGUAUGCCUGACUCUGACCCAUGCAUCAGUGCUUUGGACCAGUUCAGAGAUGUGAUGGACUCGCUGCCCAGGGCUUCUGACACAAGGGCUCCUGUGCCGUGAUGGACUUCACCCUUCAACUGUGGCUCCUUUCUCGACUUUGCAGGCGCAGGAAAAGCAACUAAACAUUCCCAAGGUUCCGCGGGAUACUGAAGUUCAGAGGAGUCAACCCAUUAUCUGCCCCAUGUCACAGACCUCCCACUCAGUGGAGCCUGUGUUCAAAUCCUGUCAGCCUGAUUCAGACGUCAAGAUCUCAUCCAACCCCUGCUGCAUCCAGAGUUUUGUGAUCCUGAGGAAACAGGCUCUGGCUUGCGUUGGGAAUGCGGGAGUGAUGCAUGGGCCGGCUGAAGAAGGGAGAGGUGUGACUCAGCCACUGAGGUUGUUUUGUGGGAGGACCCAGCAAUUUUUCUUUGUGAUGGGAGCUCGCUGGAAGCAAUUUAGAUAUGAAGCAACUUCUGUUUGGUGCAUA